UGUAAUGGCAGGUUGGAAUGUAUACUCUGAAUACAAAGAGCUUCAUUUGAAUUCUGACAUUCACUGAAGUCUUCAAAUUCAUUUUUGAUCUGCAGGUCUCCACAGUCUUGUAAUGGAAAUGUUAAGUCACGUCCUCACCCGGUGAUUGAGCACCUGGUGGGAAAGCAGGGCCAAGCCAGGGGAGCUCAGCUGCAUGCAAUGUGUCUGACUAGAAUGGGUAGAGCCAGGAUCCACCCCUCCCCAGACCUCAUUUAAGGGUUGGCAGCGGAGCUGAGAGCAUCUUAUCUAGUGACUGCUGGGUACACAAGGACCUUAUAGAUCUUCUGAAGACCAGCAUAAAAUUGAGGAUUGUGGAUGUUGUCAUUCUGUCCAGAAAAUACCACCAAAUUACUGAGAAAUUAUCUUAAGUUCUGAAAGGCAUAUUUCAAUGGACCUAUGUAACUCCAAAAUCCUGAAAGAAGAAACUGAAAUGAAGUGUAAUUUGUUUGAUAUUGACUCUUUUGAAGGAAGAUGGACUUACUUGCUUUCCAGACCUCCACCGUUCUCCCUCACAUUUACUUUUUUGUUGUUUUUAGUUGAAAAAUAAUUUAUUUUAUAUAUACUAUAAUGCUACAGUAGAGUAGUUCAACUUUUUCUCUAUUUUGAUCUAACUUCUAAUUUUGGUGGUCUAGAAAGAAAACUUGCAAAUACAACUCUGUCACAUUAGUUUCUAUCUAAUUUGAAAAGUAACCCCUGUCAUCUGUCAGGGUGUUAAACAAUAGAUAUUUAGUUUAGAUUCUGUACUAACGGACAUAGUUUAGUGGGGAAAUAUUGGUGGUAGGUUGGACUAGAUAAUUUUGGAGGUCAUUUACAAUGUUGGCAAUUCUUUGAUUCUGUGAUUCUAAUAUAAUAAUGUUAGUACGUGCUUCUCCUUUGUCUCACCGUUGCAGUGAAACUUUAGAGCCAGGAUACAGAAUACAGAUACAGAUCACCACCAUGCUCAUGGAAGUGGCAGUAAACAUCAAUGCCAAACAAGAUAACAAAAUAUGUAUAAAAUUUCCACUGAAGUCACUGCAUAAAGUUAUGUUUGUAACAUGGCACAUUAAAAAUGAGUUCAUGCAAUUCCUAUCUGUGUUCAUAUCAGAAAUGUUAAAUCAUAUGAAGUCUAUCAUGGUGCAUCAGAAGAAAAACUGAUAAAUAUGUGACUUGUGGAAUAAAGAUAUCUGGGUAUGGAUAAGAUUGAAUGACGUGACUUAUUGA